UACCCGCGACAGGACGGAAAGACCCCGUGGAGCUUUACUGUAGCCUGAUAUUGAAUUUUGGUACAGUUUGUACAGGAUAGGCGGGAGCCUUUGAAACCGGAGCGCUAGCUUCGGUGGAGGCGCUGGUGGGAUACCGCCCUGACUGUAUUGAAAUUCUAACCUACGGGUCUUAUCGACCCGGGAGACAGUGUCAGGUGGGCAGUUUGACUGGGGCGGUCGCCUCCUAAAGUGUAACGGAGGCGCCCAAAGGUUCCCUCAGAAGGGUUGGAAAUCAUUCGUAGAGUGCAAAGGCAUAAGGGAGCUUGACUGCGAGACCUACAAGUCGAGCAGGGACGAAAGUCGGGCUUAGUGAUCCGGUGGUUCCGCAUGGAAGGGCCAUCGCUCAACGGAUAAAAGCUACCCCGGGGAUAACAGGCUUAUCUCCCCCAAGAGUCCACAUCGACGGGGAGGUUUGGCACCUCGAUGUCGGCUCAUCGCAUCCUGGGGCUGUAGUCGGUCCCAAGGGUUGGGCUGUUCGCCCAUUAAAGCGGUACGCGAGCUGGGUUCAGAACGUCGUG
rnacentral:rRNA from 1 species